CCCUUAGAUGUUCUGAACCGCACGCGUGUUACACUGAUGCAUUCAACGAGCUUUACCUUGGCCGAGAGGCCUGGGAAAUCUUUUUAGCAUGUAUCGUGAUAGGGAUUGAUUAUUGCAAUUAUUAAUCAUGAACGAGGAAUUCCUAGUAAACGCAUUUCAUCAAAAUGCAUUGAUUACGUCCCUGCCCUUUGUACACACCGCCCGUCGCACCUACCGAUUGAGUGGUCCGGUGAAGUCUCGAGAUUGUGGCAAUCUCCUUUAUUGGAGUUUGACUGCGAGAACUUGCCUAAACCUUAUCACUUAGAGGAAGGUGAAGUCGUAACA
rnacentral:rRNA from 1 species